GACCACGCGGUACCUAUCUACGCAAUGUUCAUAGACCUCUAGUGUCAGUCGGAUGUUUUAUUUGCAAUAGCUAAGUAUACACUAGUUUUAUC